rnacentral:lncRNA from 1 species
GCAGAAUCUAAAAAAUAUUUUUGGAUAUUUAUUUAUACAGUAUAAAUGGGUAUAACACUGUAUGAUGCUGUUGGCAUUUUAAUUCCCAGACUGCAUCUUAGAAAUUCAGAGCUUCUCCCCUCCUACAGUGAAGCCUGAAUGUUGCAGAAACAGAGAGAAAGAAAUGAGAUUUUUGAACCAGAUGAUCUUUCCAGUGCCUUCCAACUCAAACCAUCCUAUGAUUAUCAAUAACUGAGCUAUCAAAUUUCACCCCUCUGGUACACAUAAAUCUGAAAAAAGCUUCAGCUGCGUCACUCCCAGACAAAUCUGACACUGGAAUUUUGCUCCUCCGAGUUCUACCUGUGCUCUUCAUUCCAGGCACAGAGACAGGACCACACACCUCCCCACAGGGCACAGGACCUGCAGCCAGAACAGAACAAGCUGCUGAAGAAUAUUGAGGUCAGGACUGGAUGGGCAGGGAUCCUGCUCAAGCAGCCAGGAUCACAGGAAACUCCCUCUCUACCCUGGGAUAUAUUUCAUGAGUAAAAGAAACAAGGCGCUAUGAACUGAAUACUCUAAAAAGAAAGAAAGAAAGAAAGAAAGAAAGAAAACUCUCCUCCUGGUUGCAAACAGAAGAUUGGUUCAUUUGAGCAUGCUGUGCAAAACUUGCCACAAAGUCCUUUGUGCCAUCAGCAUGAAAAGAAUCCUUUGCCCAGGCGGGAGAUUAGGGUGGCCAGCGGGAAUCCCUGCACCCGAAAUUCAGAUCAGAAUGGGCACUGCGGGCCCAGCUCCUGCACAACCGAGGACCUGA